GAAGUUCCUGUUUCUUUGCUGGCUGUCAGCUGGGGACAGCCAUUAGAUCCUGGAGGCCUCUCUCUGGUCCUUGAUCUAGAGCCAGCAAUAGAACGUCAAAUUCUUCUCAUGCUUGGAAUCUUUUCAUCUUCCCUUUCGCUGUCUCUCUCUUCUGCUGCAGCUGCUGCUGCGUAUCUCUGACUGAAGGCACAAGAAGUUCUCGGCUUUGAAAGGCCCCUUUAGUUAGAUUGGACCCACCUGGAUACUCCAAGAGACUCUUUUUCAAAGACUUUCAUGGAAAUUUCUUCAAUGGCAGUGAUGAGCAGGAACACGUGUAAAGAAGAUGAUCUGAACUAGCUAAAGUUCUUGACAGCUGCCACAUCCUCCCUGCCCUCUCCCAUCUUGCCAAGCACCUUUGGCCUGGGGACCUGCCAAACAAGACCCAGGG